UACUAUGAAUUGUUGUUUAUUCUGUUACUAAUGAAAAGUAUUAACUCUGAGUGUCCUAAGCAGGGUUUGAACCCAGAACUUCAAUGUUAAAACACAUUGUUCUUAUCUAUUGAGCCACUGAGCCUGAAAAGCAGAAGUGGUUUUCGAUAAAAUAACAGAUCUUUUGCAGUUUAUCAGUAAAAAAGAUCUUGCACUGCGUUUGGUUUAAGUGGGAUUUGAACCCACAACCUUAAGCUUAAAACGCAAAUGCUUAAUCAAUUGAGCCACUGGGCCAGACAAGCUAGAGAAUGUUUUAGACAGGGUGACACUGAGAUCUUUUGCAUUUUAUCAGUAAAAAAAAAAGCAUUUCACAAUGAUUUUAGCAUAAGCGGGAUUCGAACCCACUAACUCAAGAUUAAAACACAAAGUUUUAAUCAAUUGAGCCACUGAGCCCCACAAGGUGCAAAGAGUUUUUGACAGGGUGACAAUUAUAUUUUUUGCGAUUUAUCGGUAAAAAAAGCAUUUUGCACUGAUUUUGGCAUAAACGAGAUUUGAACCCACAACGUCAAAGGUAAAACACAAAGUUUUAACCAAUUGAGCCACUGAGCCUGACAAGUUAAAUCAAAAUUUUGACAGAGUGAUAAUGGGAUCUUUUUCAUUUUAUCAAUUAGAAAAAGCAUUUUGCGCUGAUUUUGGCAAAAGCAGGAUUUGAACCCACAACCUCAAGAUUAAAACACAAAGUUUAAAUCAACUAGGCCACUAAGCCAGACAAGUUGAACUGUGUUUUUGACAGUGUCACAUUGAUGUGCUUUGCAUUUUAUCAAUACAAAACAUUUUGCACUGAUUAUGGCAUAAGUGAGAUUUGAACCCACAACCCCAAGAAUAUAACGCAGAGUUUUAAUCAGUUGAGCCACUAAGCCGGACAAGUUAAAACAGGAUUUUAACAGGGUGAUAAUGAGCUCUUUUGCAGUUUAUCAGUAAUAAAAAAACAUUUUGGACUGACUUUGGCAUGAGUAGGAUUUGAACCCACAACCUCAAGAUUAAAACACAAAUUAUUAAUCAACUGAGCCACUAAGCCGGUUAAGUUGAAAUGUGUUUUUGACUGGGUGACAUUGACAUCCUUUGCAUUUUAUCAGUACAAAACUUUUUGCACUGAUUUUGGCAUAAGUGGGAUUCGACUCAAUUGUUAAGAUCAUCAGUAGCAGGAUUCGAACCCGGGUCUCCCAGAUAAAAGCACACAGGUUUAGUCAAUUGAGCUACUGAAACAAAAGUCUCAUGGGGUGCUUUGUUGCAUUUGUGUUUAUUGAUGAUGUUGUGCACAAGUAUUUUAGAAAAUGCUCAAUAAAAGCCAAUUUACAGCAGCUAUGCUCUUCUCAGACUCUGUGGCUCAGCUUAUUAAAGUACCGUCCUGUAAUCUUGGAGACCCGGGUUCAAACCUCGCUCUUGAUGACCUUCAUUUGUAAUUGUGUGUGUUCAAUUAUUGCAUAAAGGAUUUUCAAAUUGAAAUCAGCAGUCAUUGGAUUUGACCUCAGGACUCUGAAAACUUUGUUUGAUCAGCCAAGCUGCCGAGUCUGAGAAACUUUAUUUGUGUUUUGGAUGGGAGUUAGAUCAUUGAGUAUUUAGUUUUUUAUGAUCUGGAAUUAACACAAGAUUUGUGGGGCUUAAAUCCACCUCUUCAGAUGUUUAAGGCCACUAGUGCCUUUAUGAAUUUAUCUUGGGUAAAUCAUCAUUUGAUUGUUUUAAUGUAAACAGUGGUGAAAUAUGAGCUCACAACACUUUUAUCACCUGAGCCUGAGCUGUGGAAAUGUGCUUUGGACAGUUGUGUUGAGAGGUUUUGUUUAUUGAUAGAAAAUGUCUGCAAGAGUGGGAUAUGCAUCGUUCCUCAAAUAUUUUUUAAUUAAUUAAUUCAAUUUCAGCAUUCAUGAAACUGAAAUAUGUUUGAAAUGUGCAAACAAUCACAAAAACUUAAUUCAUUUCAGCCUGUAAUUGAUUGAAAAUACAGAACUUAGACAUCACUUUUUUAAUCUUAAUUUCUGCUGGAAUAAAAGAAAAGAGUUGAGUCAGGAGAUUUCUAUCAGUGCUGAUGAGCUUGAUUAGCAGCUUCAGAUGCACAAAUCCUCCACAAGUGGGCACAACAUUGACACAUUGAUCAGGCUUUCUUCAUUAAAUCUUUAUUAAAUGUGA